rnacentral:rRNA from 1 species
AUUGAACGCUGGCGGCAUGCCUUACACAUGCAAGUCGAACGGCAGCACGGGAGCAAUCCUGGUGGCGAGUGGCGAACGGGUGAGUAAUAUAUCGGAACGUGCCCAGUCGUGGGGAUAACGUAGCGAAAGCUACGCUAAUACCGCAUACGAUCUAUGGAUGAAAGCGGGGGAUCGCAAGACCUCGCGCGAUUGGAGCGGCCGAUAUCAGAUUAGGUAGUUGGUGAGGUAAAGGCUCACCAAGCCGACGAUCUGUAGCUGGUCUGAGAGGACGACCAGCCACACUGGGACUGAGACACGGCCCAGACUCCUACGGGAGGCAGCAGUGGGGAAUUUUGGACAAUGGGCGCAAGCCUGAUCCAGCAAUGCCGCGUGCAGGAUGAAGGCCUUCGGGUGUAACGUAGCUUUGUUAC